CUUCCCUCUCCCUCUCUCGUUUCUCUUUCCCCACGAUCUCCAAACCUCGCCUGUCUCGAGUAAACGAAAACCCUAACUCAGUCACAACUAUAACCACCUUUACUUCCAGAACGAACACAGAAGAAUCCCCGAUCUUCUUCUUCUCAUAUAUGGAUGUUUUUGGUAACAAAAUCGACUUCAUCUGAAAUCGCUCAUCUCUUGUGUAAAAAAAUCACUCUUCUCUUUGUCUAAGCUAUCGACUUCAUCUGAAAUCGGUCAAAGGUUUGCUCAAGUCACUGUGUUUUCAUCACUCUUUCUCUAGCAGAUGAAGAUUGAUGAACAAGAUGAAGGAUGCUGGAACUUCUAAAAGAGAACAUGCAGUCAUGGAGAAGAUUAAAGAAGCACACAGGAGAGUGAUGGUGGCUAACCAUCCUCACAAGGGUGGGAGCAUGUAUCUUGCUAAAAAGAUCAACGAGGCUGGGUACUUUUGAUGGAUAAGGGUCGAUUUCAAUUCUUUCCAUGUGAAGGUAGGACUGAUUGUUGAGCUAGAAGUCAUAGAACAAGUCACGCUGGUGUUUUAUAAAACAAGAAGAAUAAUCAACCAAGAGGGGUACGAUUGGAUAUGAGUCAUGAAAAUCUCUAUUUUUCUUUCUUGAUUUUUUUAAGCUAGGGUUUGCUGUUAGGAUUGACAGAUGCUGAUGAUCCUAUUCCUAGAUCUAGUAAUGGCUUGUCUGAAGAAAUUUCUUUUAAGAUUCUGAAACAGGUGUGGGUUUCUUUUUCUGAAUUCUGUGAUUUUGGUCAGCAUUUUGUGAUUUUAGUGAGUUGCAACUUGUUGUGGCAGGGUUGGAUGUCUAUAGCACAAGUCUUCUACAUCUAUCCAGUUAUUAUCUUAUCUUGAUUACUAAAUGUACCAUGUUUCAGGAAGUUAUAUCCAGAAAUGUAUUGAUUGAUGAAUGUUCAAGGCAGGUUGUCGAGGUGUAGCAAGCAGCCAUGUGGAAGUUUCUUUGGUGGUCGGGAAUCAUAGCUGUCCAUGUUAUGGUUGGCCAAAACAUAGAUGAUCACUCGGAAGGACUCAUGCUGGUUGUUGCAACAAUCUGACAAGAUAUAUGCUGGAGCAUUUUGACAGUGAUUCAGUGAUUCGAAUCACAGUUUGAUUCUUCACAAGACUAAACUUUGUGCUCCUGCACUUGCUCCAUUUUUUAAUACUUAUUACGAAGGUGAUGGUUUUCCCGAUGUGUUUGAUUUGUCAUUGUUGUCUCAUGUCAGGGUUCGUAAUCUUAUUAGAACCUUAAAGUUUGUAUAGCGUCAGUAGUCUGUUCGGUCUGAACUAACCCAAGAACAUCACCCUAAUAGUAUUGUUUAGCAAAGAACUCUUAUCCCGCUAACCAGAAUCCAUCUCAUUUAUUUUGAUACUUCUUAUAUAGAAUCUAAUCGUACUAUUAGAAUUGGUAUCAUUCUUCUUGAUAAUGCAGGAAACUUUUGGGGUGCCAAAACAAUCCCAAGCACAGGAUGAGAUGCUUAACAUGCUGAAGCCAAGGCUCUUCUUGUAGCCACACUAUGGGUUAACGAGCUGGAACUGCAGUUUACUUCAAAGGGGACUGAAUCAUUCUGAAGAUGUAUGCUAUGCUAUCUAGUGUUCAAAUCACCAUAGUUAACUAUUGCUGUUAUAGUGGUCUCUGUCAAGUUUUCUAGAUUUUUGGUGUAGUUAGUGUCAGUAUUAUUCGAAAAAAAUAUUGUCUUUUAGGUUUCUGUUAGUAUUAUUUUGUAACAUUUGAUAAGGUCUUAUUUGGAAUAAAAUUUCUGUUAA